AGGAUAGGUGGGAGGCUUUGAAGUGUGGACGCCAGUCUGCAUGGAGCCGACCUUGAAAUACCACCCUUUAAUGUUUGAUGUUCUAACGUGGACCCGUGAUCCGGGUUGCGGACAGUGUCUGGUGGGUAGUUUGACUGGGGCGGUCUCCUCCUAAAGAGUAACGGAGGAGCACGAAGGUUGGCUAAUCCUGGUCGGACAUCAGGAGGUUAGUGCAAUGGCAUAAGCCAGCUUGACUGCGAGCGUGACGGCGCGAGCAGGUGCGAAAGCAGGUCAUAGUGAUCCGGUGGUUCUGAAUGGAAGGGCCAUCGCUCAACGGAUAAAAGGUACUCCGGGGAUAACAGGCUGAUACCGCCCAAGAGUUCAUAUCGACGGCGGUGUUUGGCACCUCGAUGUCGGCUCAUCACAUCCUGGGGCUGAAGUAGGUCCCAAGGGUAUGGCUGUUCGCCAUUUAAAGUGGUACGCGAGCUGGGUUUAGAACGUCGUGAGACAGUUCGGUCCCUAUCUGCCGUGGGCGCUGGAGAACUGAGGGGGGCUGCUCCUAGUACGAGAGGACCGGAGUGGACGCAUCACUGGUGUUCGGGUUGUCAUGCCAAUGGCACUGCCCGGUAGCUAAAUGCGGAAGAGAUAAGUGCUGAAAGCAUCUAAGCACGAAACUUGCCCCGAGAUGAGUUCUCCCUGACCCUUUAAGGGUCCUGAAGGAACGUUGAAGACGACGACGUUGAUAGGCCGGGUGUGUAAGCGCAGCGAUGCGUUGAGCUAACCGGUACUAAUGAACCGUGAGGCUUAACCUUACAACGCCGAAG
rnacentral:rRNA from 2 species